CAUUUCUGCACCAGUCGACAACCCCAACCAUGAAGAAAAGUUCUUCAGAGAUUGGGUAAGUAUUGAUAUAAGAGAUG